AUCUGGUUACCCCAGGAUAAGUAAUCUCCUGGGGGGAUGAAUCUUAUAAUGUGAGUUUCGUAAUGCAAUUAUGGUUUUGGUAAAAUUAUUAAUUCCCCUCAGAAAUU